AGGGCACGGGGUGGAUGCCUAGGCGUCAUCCGUCAUUCGGGCGUGGAAGGCUGCGAAAUGUCCGGGGGAGCUGCCCAACGAGCGUCGAUCCCGGAAUCCCCGAGACCACGGAGGGAACUGAAACAUCUCAGUACCUCCAGGAACAGAAAGCAACCGCGAUUCCCUCAGUAGCGGCGAGCGAACGGGGAGCAGCCUAAACCGCCGGGGACACCCGGCGGGGUCGUGGGGCCGUUCACAUGGGAGUUACCAAGGCGAUCGGAAGCCGAAGUCCACUGGAACGUGGCGCCAGAGCGGGUGAGAGCCCCGUCGGCCGCUCCAUCGACCCUCCCGAGCGGUACCCGAGUAGGGUCGGGCACGUGAAACCCGGCCUGAAUCGGCGGGGACCCUCCCGCAAGGCUAAAUACGCGAUGACGACCGAUAGCGAACCCAGUAGGGCGACCGAACGGUGGGAAGAACCCCGAUCAGGGGAGGAGACUGAACCUGAAACCCCGUGCCUACGAGCGGUGGGAGGGCGGUGACUCUUCGGAGUCCGCCUGACCGCGUGCCUUUUGCAUAAUGAUCCGGCGAGUUAUCGUGCCCGGCCCCAGGUUAACCCCUUCAGGGGGGGAGCCGCAGCGAAAGCGAGUCUGAACAGGGCGACUUAGUCGGGCGCGAUAGACGCGAAACCAGGUGAACUACCCAUGGGCAGGUUGAAGCGGCCCUAACCGGCCGUGGAGGACCGAACCCACCAGUGUUGAAAAACUGGGGGAGGACCCGUGGGGAGGAGUGAAAGUCUUAUCAAACCUGGAGAUAGCUCGUUCUCUCCGAAAUGGCUUUAGGGCCAGCCUCGGAUGGUGCCGCGCGGGGGUAGAGCGACGGAAUCCGUUCGGGGGCCUCCCCGGCUACCCGUCGGAACCCAACUCCGAAUACCACCGCGAUCGACCCCGGGAGUCAGAGCGUGGGGGAUAAGCUUCACGCUCGAGAGGGAAACAACCCAGACCGCCGACCAAGGCCCCCAAAGCGACGCUCAGUGAGAAAGGAAGUGGGAUCGCCCUGACAGCCGGGAUGUUGGCUUAGAAGCAGCCACCAUUUCAAAAGUGCGUAACAGCUUACCGGUCGAGCCAUCCCGCGCCGAAAAUGACGGGGACUAAGCGUCGCGCCGCAGUCGCGGAUCAGUGAAAGCUGGUAGUAGGAGAGCGUCGUCAUCCGCGGCGAAGCCGGACCGCAAGGACCGGUGGAGCGAUGACGAGUGCGAAUGCCGGAACGAGUAACGACAAGAUGGGUGGGAAGCCCAUCCGCCGAAAGCACAAGGUUUCCUGGGGAAGGUCAAUCCGCCCAGGGUCAGUCGGGACCUAAGGCGAGGCCCAAGGGCGUAGCCGAUGGGCACGCGGUUAAUAUUCCGCGACCCGGCGUGAAGGUUGAACCGCGGGUGACGCCACUGUGAGAGGGGUCGGGGCGCUAGAAACCCCCGUGCCGCAAGGCCGACAGCAUUCGACCUGGAAGCCUCUCGAGGAGUGGCCACGAAAAGCCCCGCGGGGACGACACGUCGGCCCGUACCGCAAUCCGACACAGGUGUGCUAGGCGAGCAUCCGAAGGCGUUCGGGAGAACCCUCGUGAAGGAACUCGGCAAAAUGACCCCGUACCCUCGGUACAAGGGGUGCUCAUCCCGCGAGGGGUGAGCCGCAGAGAAUCGGGUCUAGCGACUGUUUAUCAAAAACACAGGACUCUGCCAACUCGCAAGAGGACGUAUAGAGUCUGACGCCUGCUCGGUGUCGGUAGGUUGAGGGAGCCGGUGACCGCAAGGGCAGCUGGCGACCGAAGCCCCGAUAAACGGCGGCCGUAACUAUGACGGUCCUAAGGUAGCGAAGUUCCUUGUCGGGUAAGUUCCGACCUGCAUGAAUGGCGUAACGACUGGAGCGCUGUCUCCACGAGGGACCCGGUGAAACUGUAGCCGUGGUGAAGAUGCCACGUACCCGCGGUCAGACGGAAAGACCCCGUGAACCUUUACUGCAGGUUGGCACUGGCCCAGCGUCCUUUCUGUGUAGCAUAGGUGGGAGGCAGCGAUCCGGCGGCGCCAGCCGUCGGGGAGCCAUCGGUGAAAUACCACCCUGAAAUGACGUUGGUCCUCACCGGCCCGAGACCCGGGCCGGGACCGUGCUCAUCGGGCAGUUUGACUGGGGCGGUCUCCUCCCAAAGAGUAACGGAGGAGCGCCAUGGUACCCUCGGCCCGGUCGGCAAUCGGGCAACGCGAGCGCAAACGUACAAGGGUGCCUGACUGCGAGACCCAUCGGUCGAGCAGGGACGAAAGUCGGCGUUAGUGAUCCGGCGGUGCUGGAUGGAAAGGCCGUCGCUCAACAGAUAAAAGGUACUCCGGGGAUAACAGGCUGAUCUCCCCCGAGCGUCCACAGCGGCGGGGAGGUUUGGCACCUCGAUGUCGGCUCAUCGCAUCCUGGGGCUGGAGAAGGUCCCAAGGGUUUGGCUGUUCGCCAAUGAAAGCGGUACGCGAGCUGGGUUCAGACCGUCGUGAGACAGGUCGGUCCCUAUCUGCCGUGGGUGUGGGAAACUUGAGGAGCGUCUCCCCUAGUACGAGAGGAUUGGGGAGGACCGACCUCUGGUGUGCCGGCUGUCCCGCUCGGGGCACCGCCGGGUAGCCAGGUCGGGACCGGAUAAGCGCUGAAGGCAUCUAAGCGCGAAGCCCCCUCCGAGACCAGGUUUCCGGGUGCAUUCGUGCACCGUAGGCUCCUGGAAGACGACCAGGUCGAUAGGCCGGGAGUGCACGGCGGGCGACCGCCGCAGCCGACCGGUCCUAACAGCCGAGCGGCUUGACC
rnacentral:rRNA from 1 species